CUGUAGCUUUGGAGACUGUCCUGGACUAGCUCUGUAGACCAGGCUGGCCUCAAACUUGCAGAGAUCCGCCUGCCUCUGCCUCCCGAGUGCUGGGAUUAAAGGCGUGCUAUCACUGCCCGGCCAAAGCAUUUCUUAAAAUGAAAUAAA